AGAGAAACGCUGCUUCCUCUUUCAGUCUGGACCAGAGAUAGAGAGAGAGACACCCAAAGAACCAUGAUCUGGUGGACUCCCAUAGUGGUGGUGGGACUUAUGCUGCUUAAAAGAGGUAGGAAAAUAAAUAAGUACUAGUACUUUAAAUGCUAGUACUGUUGUCCUACCUGUGUUAUGGAUCUAAUUAUAUAUAUAUACAUUUUGAAAUGGGCUUUUUAAUUCAAGCACAGCUAGGUGUAUACAAAUAUGUUCAUGUUCUAAAUGUUAGAGCUACAUAAAUACGUAAAGAAUAGUACAGGAGAAGAGUUACAUUAGAACAUAGAACAUACUAGUA